AAAAAUGAUCUUGGUCGUCCUAUUGAUACAGAGAGUACUUGAUUCGAUGACGUCGAUGGAGCAUACACUGUUGUCACGUUUGGUGGUACAGCUUGCAAUGGAGUGUCAUUAAUUGGCCCCUAAAUAUUGGCAUUGGAAUUGGCCAUUGUUUCUAACAUCCAAGAUGAUUAAAUAUUAAUAAAUCUUUUUCAUUUAUAUUUUCACCAUAUA
rnacentral:lncRNA from 1 species